rnacentral:lncRNA from 1 species
UUAAUUACAUGUUUAAUUUAAGAAAAGGAGUUUGAAAAUGCAAUGGCAUAAGGCCAAAGUUUCUAGUUUGCAAAGUGGUCAAAAUUUAGAAAAUAACAAGUUUAAACAAAGAAAUUUUUAAAAGGAGGAAAAGAUUUUGAAAUUAAAGAAAUGGGGGAGGAGAUGAAGAGACCAAUCCUAAGCACAAAUUAAAAAGUUAAGAGUUGGAAAGAUUUGAC